rnacentral:siRNA from 1 species
AUUAUGACGAUUGGUGGAUAGAA